AUCAGGCUUUCCUCAAACGCAAAAGAACUUUGUAGCCGCCCUGGUGUUUCCUACUUUUGUUUCUGAACUCCGCUCCCCGCCCCCGCUCCGGUCCGCUCCGGUCCCGCGCCGGAUUUCGGGGUUCCCUGGCUCCCGGGCUCCAGCACCGCACCCGCUUAAACCCUUCAAGGGGCGAGGGUCGCGGCGCAGUCAGAGAAGCGGCGAGGAGACCCGGGUCGUCCCGAGAUCCAGGCGCCCCCAGAGCUGUGACCUGCGAGUCUCGGGCACAGGCCGGGGUCCGGAGCACGCGGCCGUUAGGGAUCCAUGUUCUUCGUGAGUUUGCCCGCGUCCCACCCAGAUUUUCAGAAGCCUUAGGUUGGCAUGGCCUUCCCCAAGGGGGUUCAGCUGGAAGACCGUGGUCAGAGGUUGGAGUCGCCAAGGACAGCUGUCCAGCUUUUGAGGAGGAGACCGGUCUGCCCUUCAGGGGUUCUUGUCAUCGAGUUUGAUGGUGACAGUUUUUACUUCUGUAUACUCCGCCAGAGCAUAUUCACCUCUGUGACGACAGAGAAAGGGGGGCAGUUCACACUGUCAGUUCGUGGUUCUGGGGAAACUCUUCUAAUGCCUGAGGCCUCUGUUGCAGUUUGAGUGCUGGGGUUUGUGCGACAGAGCACAACGUGGUGCCUGCCCGUAGUAGGGGCAGGAGGCACUAUGAUGCCCUUAGUUAAGCGUCGGGAACUGGAAAUGUGAGUUUACGUGCUAAGGUCCUGUGUGUGAUGCUUUUGAAGCCGUUAAAAGAACUAAGGGUUUGCUUCCGGACCAUGAGAGAUGAAGACAAGAGCAUAAACUCAGGGCAGUUCUCUGGGUCAGGGAGGUGGCUGCAGAAGAGGGGCCUUUGCAGGUGAGUCGGUGGGGGCGGGGGGGGGGGCUGGGGUGUGAGGCCUGCACUGACUAUGUAAGUUUCAAGUGGCCAUUUGUUACUACUUGAAUAGACAGAAAAGGCUAUGUCUGAGCCCGAGGAGAUGGCCAGCGGGCCACAGGGACAUCUGGCUCUGAAGGGCACAGCUGCAAGAGGAGCUGGGUCAGACUGCAGGGGAAGGGAACAGACGCUGGCACAGGCUAGGCGCAGGAAGGUGACGGCCCUCAGGUUAGCAUCUUUGGUAUUUUCCCUUCCCUUCUGCCUUACAGGGGCCAGGGAUCUUUCCUAGAUACCAUGGGCCAUCCUUGGAGGAGAUCCCCUUCCCAGAACCAAGAGGCAACUUAGGUGGAGAAUUCCUCCAUAGUACACGCUUAGCAAUUGCAAAAAAAAAAAAAAAAAAAAAAAAAAAAAAAAAUCCGGUUCCAGAAAAGAUAGAGGUAGAGAUAGCCUCUCCAGUCUCUAUAUGAAAAGAUCUGACCCCCAAUCUCAUCUCAUCUCUGAGACCUGCAGGUGAGCUACUCAGCCCAGCAUUAUCAGCCUGACUUCUGAACGUGUUAGAAAUGCAGAUUCCCGGGCCUCACCCGGGACUACUGUAGCAGGUAAAACAGGGAAGAUAAAGUAGUAAAGUAUGUCCACACCCUGCUCCCGGUCCUGGUGCACGGGUUAGGUUGCACAGCAAGGGAGGACCGAUGCGGGGGAUGGGAUUCUUGUGGCUAAUCGAUUGACUUUAAAAUAGAGAGUUUUCUGGGUCCUUUGGGUGGCCCAACGGUCCCUAAGAAUUGAAGAAGAGAGUUGAGUAAAAACGAUACAAGACACCAAAAGGUACCACCGGGCUGCUUGGGAAGAUGGCCGAGGCCUUCAGCCAAGUAUGAGGUAAGCCUCUGGGGGCUGGGAAAGGCUAGGAAACUCAGUCCUCACAGCCUGCGUCCUAGAGGACACCUCCCUUAAGCUCAGAGAGAGCUGCACCUAUCCUGUAGGGCUUGAUGUCACAUGUUUGUGUCACCUAAGACAUUGAUUUUUCAGAAAUUUCCUCAGUAGAGUAAAGAAAUUUGUGUUCAGUCAAUUCCCUGGGUGAUUCUGAUGCCUGCUUGAAUAUAAGAGCAACUCGGGCUUAGGAUCGUGUGGAUGAGUCAAGUUGAUUGAAAUCCCUGAGACUGUUUCAUCUGUGCCAUGGGAACACCACCACUCCUGUUCAGUGACGCCAACUAGAGAGAAUUCACAUAGGCCCCUCACUCUGUGCUGAGUAAGUAACGUCACCUUUAAGAAGGCGUGCUGUUUUCGAUGUCCUGAACGUUCUUACAGAGCAGCAGGGGAAACGCAAUCAAUCAAAUGGAAAAAUGCUACAGAGGACACACUCAUUUUUGCAGAAGAAGAAAUGCAAAUUCCCGUAAGUGUGAAAGGGGCACACUCACUGUCUCACACUUGAAGACAUUCGAACCUACACAGAGACACUUUCCUGUGGCUGAGCAUGGAAUUCUAGGAAUUCAUUCUGAGAACCACCACCCUAAGUGUAUAAAUAUUUAUACACAAGGAAGCUUAUAAGCAGGGUUUGUAAUAAUAAUAAUAAUAAUAAUAAUAAUAAUAAUAAUAAUAAUAAAGGCCUGUGGAUGUAACACCAGUGUCCAUUGUAGGUGGCUAAAAGACAGUGAGAUAUUCAAAACCCAUCUCUGAGGACAAAAAGUGGCUUGCUUCCACAUUAGCCAACAGAAAAGAAUGAGUGGAUGUAUGCAUAUCCACAGCAAAUGCACCCUAAACUUUCAAAAUGAGCAAAUAGCAUUGUACAGAGAAGGGGUGAAGUCUUUCCGAGUUAGCUCGUGCUGAACAAGCUCAGAAGUGUCAGCGUGUUCUUGCAGGACACAGCCUGUAGACUCUUCUUUCCCCUUCCUCAUCUGUUGCUCUGGUUCAAGUUCCCGCUGUCCUCACUCACCCCCUCACCCAGUCUUUGCUACCUCAGGAACCAAAGCCAUUUGGGAGCUCAGCCUUCCUCCUAAUAAACCUCCCUAGGAUAUCAACGGCGACAAGGACUGAUAACAGUCCGCUGACAAAUGCCCAGAACCUAACACCAAGCUUGGAGCAGUAAAACCCCCUCAGCAAAGACUUGCAAGAGGACAAUCCCUGUCCUUGUGGAAGUGUCCUUUGUCCUUUGUGGAAGUGUGUGACUGCACUCACCUCAGGCCCACAGGGUCUGCUGUGGAUACGCCCUUGGACAAACUGUUGUCAGCAAGGGUGUCUUUAGAGAGCUGGGAGACUCAAGGCCAGGUGGGAGGCCAAGGUUAAGUUUGAAGAGCAAGACAAGCCAAGCCAGAACAAAUGCUUUUUCUAGAAGUUUUGGUUUUAGGUUUAUAUUUGUUUCCACCAUUAAAUUAAAAAAAAUUAUUUCUUUUUAAUUUAGAAAAACAAAACCAAAACAAAUAUUUGUGCCAGGCGGCGGUGGUGGUGCACACCCUUAAUCCCAGCACUCAGAAGGCAGAGGCAGACGGAUCUCUGUGAGUUCCAGGACAGCCUGGUCUACAGAGCGGGUUCCAGGACAGGCACCAAAACUACACAGAGAAACCCUGUCUCGAAAAAACCAAACCAACAAACAAACAAAUAAAACCCACCACCAACAACACACACACACACACACACACACACACACACACACACACACACACACACACACACAAAUAUUUGCCAUGUGAACUAACGAGGAAAAGAACACAGUGAGCAAGCAGUGGCUCCUCUAACGAGUGGGACUAAGGGCCAGGGAGGGAGGAAGGUCUGACCAUGCCGCAUCUCUGCCGUAUGAGUCUUUGUUGGCUGGCUUGGAUGCCUAACUUACACUGCAAAGCAAAGAGCCAGGAUGCACCAAGAGGAACAGGCUUUUCAGACUCCAUCCAAGACCAGCCCUGAAAUGCAUCCUGGAGGGACUGGCGAGUGUACAGCCAGUAACCAGCCCAGCCCGAGUGACUAGUUUGGGGAAAACCAUGGAAUCCACCUUAUGGUGCUCCAGCAUAGAAAAGGGGAACUUGUUGCCACAAGGAGACAUUAAUUUGAAACAACUGAAAAUAGAAAUUAUUUUUCAAGGCAGUUUCCAGGCUCCUUACAAAUGAUCUGAAAAUAUUUCAUCAUUAAAAAAAAAAAAACUUUGGGAGAAUGUAUUGCCAAAGAUCCAAAAACAAACCAGCCAUUCAAGAAAGUCCCCAGGACAGUUGUCAGGAUGAAACAUGACCGAGGUCUGUGAGCUUACCACGCCACUCCGUGGCAGGCAUAGGGACCACGAACCACACCCAGGGAUAGGAAUGGCCCAGGUAAGAAAGCUAUGUAGUGCAUCCACAGUGGUUCUAGGGAAGGCCAGGCAACAGGUGUCCCCCAUACGCCUUCCAGUCACUGUGUCCUUCAAUGACCUUUCCUUAGGGGACUGGGGUGCUUGCUGCCUCCCAGCCUCCAGAAGGAAGACUGUGAGGGAUUUGAGUUUCUCCGUCCUUACAACCCGCCUGGCUGAAGACAGAGGACCAGAGGAGACACGUCACCACAUGAGCUCUGGUGGCUUCAUCUGAAGUGGCUUACAGAGAUGACUCCUAGGGCAGGGGUUAGCUCAGUGGUAGAGAACUUGCCUCACAUGCUGGAUGACCUAAGUUCAAUUCUCAUACCGCAAAACAAAAAACUAAACGUCCCAAAACAAAAUUCAAAACACCAACAAGGUAGAGGUGGUCUCUGCCUUGCAAGCCCUGGGCUACGGGAAGCCAAAGGUCAGUGUGCCAGUGUUCUUCUUAACUCUUGUCCUUUUGGUUGUGAGCCUAACCUUUAAUGGCUGAGCCAUCUCUCCAGCCCUACUCUUAACUCUUAUGACCUGCUAGCCUCCUGGGUCUGUUUUGUCCCUUGAAAGCUGUUAUCCCCUCUCACGAACCAUCUCCACAAGAACAUGAAUGACAUUUCAGGGGCUCUCACAAAACCUUCUAGAGCCUGUGCUCAGCAAAUGCCAGCUGUCACCAGCCUUGUUACUACUGGAGGAGCCUGGAAGGACCUCAGGUGACCCUAGCUCUGGCCUCCCAGCCUCAGCCAAAAGGCUCCUCUGAGAGACCACGAAUCGGAGACUCCAAAACGGCAAACAUAACAGGCUGCCAAAGGAGCACCAGGCUCCUGCCACAGGUCUUUGUGGCCAGGAAUCAGUAAGUUAGUGCAGGAGAAGCAGUCAUAGGACCAAGGUGGGAACCGAAGGUCACUCUGUGGUCUUUGCUCAUGUGCACAGAUGACUCCUGAGCAUCUGUCAUGCGUUGGGGAUGGUCUGAACAGAGCUGAGGUGGCAUAAGGGGCCCCAAUUCCAUGUAGACCAGAGCCAAGAGCCAGUGGAAGCCAGCAUCUCCCUGUUGUAACAGGCUCAAGGAUCUACAAGCGGAGCUGCUCAGUGUCCCCACUGAGGCGUAGGCUGAGGAAAAGUGCCCAGUGUCUGCUCUGACGACAAGUGCAGAUGUGGAGAAGACAUCUUGAAGCCACCAAACGGAGCCUGUGUGUAGAACGCAUUGUAGCAGUUGACCCUAGAGAAAGGGUGAGAGGCGAUCCGGUUACCUGGAGAACACUUGCCUGCAUCUUGAGAUACUGGAGGCACAGUGAUGCCCAACGUCCGGCCUUUGGGCAAAGUCCCCAUAACUUGAACACAGCACACCCCUUAUGCUCUUUACAUCUGCUACCUUUCUUCCUGCUGGAAACUACAAUUGGAAAAUACAGAGGAAGCGAGCCAGGGGUUGAGUUAGCUGUGCAGCGAUGCCGGCCAGACCUCAGAGUUCUGCUUCCUAGACGAUGCACGUGACCCUAAGCUUGUUCAACCUCUUUGAGCCUCACUUCAUUCAUCUGGAAGAUGGGCACGAGUAUCCAAACUGCGGAGUUAUCAGUGCACAGAGAUAAGCAUCCAUACCCUGCAGGUUAGUUAUGUGCUGUCUUUAGUAUCCACCAGAGACACAAUCAGAGAGGCAGUGUGACACAGUUGUCAAAGGUUCAGGCUUUGCAGCCUCCUCGGCUAUGUCCCGUGACCUUUGCUAAUCAAAGGCUCUGCACCCUCAGGCUCAACCUCCUUCAGACCCAAAGAUUUUGUGCAGAAUUAUUCUUCUGCACAAAUAGUACAGUACAGUAAAUAUCAAUACAGCCUUGUAUUAGGUGUUGAAAAGCGUGUAGAUGAUUUUGAAGUAUGCAGGAGGGAUGGCGUAUAUCUUUGUGAAAAAAUGCCUUUCUAGUAUGUAUGUUCCAGGUCCUGAGCCAGAGUGCCAGUAUGGUACAAAUAUAUGUAUAUAUAUAUGAAUAAAUAAUAACAAAUAAGCAGGCAAGCUGGAGGAUGUUCCUAAGCUAUCUGUACACACGAGAGACUUGAGUGGCCAUAGACUUGGGCCUCUCAGCAAGGACUGAAUCCUCUGCAGUUAAACACGGAGGGCCGACUGCACUAGCUCUGUGAUGCUGGACAAGUCACUCCAUCUCUCUUUAUGCCUUGAUUUCCUCAUGUGAAUAACGAAGGACUUAAGGCCAUAGGAUACCCAUUUCAGAGGACAGUCAGCAAGGCACUCAAAACCGGGAGAGCGCAUCACGUGAAGGAAAACUGAAGCCAGCAAGCCAGGGGCUCAGAGAAGGCAAAUGCUCGCUACACAUG